rnacentral:rRNA from 1 species
CAGAGGGUGCGAGCGUUGUCCGGAAUCACUGGGCGUAAAGGGCGCGUAGGUGGCGGGGUAAGCGUGUGGUGAAAGUUCGGGGCUCAACUCCGAAUCGGCCAUGCGAACUGCUUCGCUCGAGCACUGUAGAGGCAGAUGGAAUUCCGGGUGUAGCGGUGGAAUGCGUAGAGAUCCGGAAGAACACCGGUGGCGAAGGCGGUCUGCUGGGCAGUGGCUGACACUGAGGCGCGACAGCGUGGGGAGCAAACAGGAUUAGAUACCCUGGUAGUCCACGCCGUAAACGAUGGGCACUAGAUGCUUGGGGGAGCGACCCUCUGAGUGUCGGCGCUAACGCAUUAAGUGCCCCGCCUGGGGAGUACGGCCGCAAGGCUG